AUGAAUUCACCUCUCCAAAUUUUAUCUUUUGCUUUCAAGUGACACCCCAGCGGCCCGGCAAAAGAAAUGUGCACGUUUUACCACGCCACGUCCACUAUCUCACCAUGCCUUACUACCUGGUCUCCUGACCCUUCCGCUCCCCCGGGUACUGCUGCCCCCUCAUCUACUUCGCCGACGCUCAAACUGCGCGCCUCCUACACCCCUUGCUCCUUUUCUUUUCCGCCCUCUGGUGACCAUACCCUUACAAACCGCGGAGAUGACCCCUCUUCACCCGUCCAUGAC